UACGGAGGAUGCAAGCGUUAUCCGGAAUGAUUGGGCGUAAAGCGUCUGUAGGUCGUUUCCUAAGUCUCCUGUCAAAGAUAAGGCUUAACCUUGAAAAGGCAGUGGAAACUGGGAGGCUUGAGUACGGUAGAGGCGGAGGGAAUUCCCGGUGUAGCGGUGAAAUGCGUAGAGAUCGGGAAGAACACCAAAGGCGAAAGCACUCUGCUGGGCCGAAACUGACACUGAGACACGAAAGCGAGGGGAGCAAAUGGG
rnacentral:rRNA from 1 species